GACGUAGGUGGCGAACGUUAUCCGGAAUUAUUGGGCGUAAAGGAUGCGUAGAUGGUGUAGUAAGUUAUCGGUGGCAAAUCGAGGCUCAACCUCGUGGAAAUCGGUAAUACUGCUAUGCUAGAGGAUAGGAGAGGUUAACGGAACUCCCUGUGGAGCGGUGAAAUGCGUAGAUAUAGGGAAGAACACCAAUAAGGCGAAGGCAGUUAACUAUUCUAUUCCUGACAUUGAGGCAUGAAAGCGUGGGGAGCAAAACGG
rnacentral:rRNA from 1 species